CGUAGGGUGCAAGCGUUAAUCGGAAUUACUGGGCGUAAAGCGUGCGCAGGCGGUUAUGUAAGACAGAUGUGAAAUCCCCGGGCUUAACCUGGGAACUGCAUUUGUGACUGCAUAGCUAGAGUACGGUAGAGGGGGAUGGAAUUCCGCGUGUAGCAGUGAAAUGCGUAGAUAUGCGGAGGAACACCGAUGGCGAAGGCAAUCCCCUGGACCUGUACUGACGCUCAUGCACGAAAGCGUGGGGAGCAAACAGGAUUAGAUACCCUGGUAGUCCACGCCCUAAACGAUGUCAACUGGUUGUUGGGUCUUCACUGACUCAGUAACGAAGCUAACGCGUGAAGUUGACCGCCUGGGGAGUACGGCCGCAAGGUUG
rnacentral:rRNA from 1 species